CAGACCCUACUCUUGAGAUGCUCACAUCCUGGGGAGGGGAAGAGACAGUGCUAUGGACUGAAUGUUUGUGUCCCCCUUCCCUCCCAUUCAUAUGCUGAAGCCCUGAUUCUCAACGUGAUGCUCUUUGGAGAUGGGGCCUUUGGGAUAUAAUUAGGUCAUGAGGGUGGAAAUCUUCGUGACGGGAUUAACACCCUCAUGAGAAGAAAUAUGAAACAGCUUGCUUCUCUUCUUUCUCUUAGCCAUGUGAGGACACAGAAAGAUCACAGGAAGAGGGUUCUCAUCAGACACUGAACCUGCGGGCACCUUGACUGCGGACUUCCCAGCCUCCAGAACGAGUUUGGCUGUGAAGACUGCCAGAUAUAAAUGGGCAGUUAUUGGAAGAAGGUAUGCUGUCUAGAAAGGUUAUUUUAUCUUUAAAGUUGGUACACAUUUGGGACAUUUUGUCCUGGUAAGGAUGCUCCAUAGUGGCUCUCCAUAGCUAUUUGUUGAAUUAGCGUAGACAUAUUAAAAUAAAAUGAGGAAGUGACACACACACACACACACACACACACACACACACCCCAGAACUUCUCAGGAUAAAACAGCAGCGGGAGAAAAGCUGAUUAAAGCCCAUUUGGUUUCUCUGUCUCAAAUUAGCUCUCCGCAAUGGACCCAAACAUGACUUUGGGUCCUUAAGGCUCUGAAACUGAGUUAGGGAGAUACACUGGGUGAAGAAAGUGAUGUACCUGAGAUGGUGGAGAGUAACAAUAACCCUGAAGAAGAAGAUGAUGAUGGUGACGAGGGUGACAAUAGUAACUCGCAUUCGUUGAGCACUCACUGAGUGCCAACUUGUAGUGUCAUAACUUCACGUGGCUGAUUUCACCUGCUCCUCCAAGUAAGGCUUGUAAGGUGGGUGCUACUCUCAGUCUCUCUCCGGGUGAGGUUAUUGAGGCUUAGAUUUGGAAAGCGACUUGCUCAAGACUACAUAGCUAAUAAUAACUGGUGGAGUGAGAGUUCAAGCCCCACGGUGUGUAAUUCUAGAUCCUUUUACUCCUGUUUUGUGGGGGAUAUGGCGCUAGAGAGAACUGGCCAAAGAGGGCUUCCCUAGAAGUACUCAUUUUGCACAAGACUGAUAAAAGGAGACCCCACGAGGUGAGCAAGCUGAGCCCUGAGAAGCAGCUUUGGCAAAUUAACUUCCAUCUUCCCAGGCCAGCAACCUCUGAUUUAUUUAUUUAUUUGUUUUAUAGUAGAGGAACACAUACCACUUGGCAUUACUCUUCUUGACAGUGGGAGAUUACAUGCUGGACUUGACUGAGUUUCUGUCAGGGAGAAUUUAUUGCAAUUUCGAAGAUGGUUCUUAAAAGAGAUGGCUGUUUUGCAUUUUUUAUACAGGUCCUGCAAAUAUGUCAGGUUUGAUCUUCUACAAAAUCACCUUGUAUAAACUUCCUGCUUCUCUUCCUCCUCUCCUGACUCCCACCUUCCAUAGCCUGUGUGUGCAGCGGCUGUUAGCAAGCUUCCCCCCAGGCAGCCCAGCUUUCAGCGGCCUUGACCCACAUUUUGUAGAGCUCCUGCUUUAUCUCUGCAAAGUCAAAUCCCUACUGUCCUUAAAGCAUAACCUGGAAUCCUCCCUCUCCACAAAUCCUUGUCAAGUGCCUGGCUGGGGAUCCCCAAAUAGCUCUGAAGCCACAGUGACCUAUUCAUCAGUCACCCUAGGGAAAUGAAAGCCAAGAUGCACCGAUCGUGACACUACAACAGUAAAAAUGACAAGAGGUCCUGUUGGUUGAGAAGUUACUGCUUAUUAUGAGCCGGCAAACGGGCUAAGUGUUUUGCGUAUGUUGUCUGUGAUUUCAGACUAAUACCUCAUUUACCUUCAUGCCCAAAUUAUGACAGUUUGAGUCCCACCGAUACGAUCCCUAGGAGGCAGCUUUCCUCAAAAUGUCGCUGGCUGUAUCUGAGAGGCACAGGGUGGCUUGCAUGCUCAGGGGCGUGAGCCCUGGGUUCUUGGGCUCCGGGUUUCCUAUUGUGCUGCCAUGCUGCUGCCUUUGCUUCUAAUGGGGGAUGGGCUGGCCUGUCUUCUGGAAACGGUGGUUGUUAGUAGUUAUUACUCUUUCCACCACUGUGACCUCAGAGGAGCUUGGCAUUGUUCUUCCUUCUGCUACUCCCUCAGAAGCACAGGACAAACAACUGGGAUUGGCUGUGGAACAGGAUUGCACUGACGUUUCAGAGAUGGUGGAAGGGCUGUGCUUGGGGUGGUGGUGUUAGAACUCAGAACUCUUCUCAACUGGCUUAUUCUUUCCCUAGGGUGUCUCCUCAGGCCACCUCCCUUCCUUUCUGGUGGCCUGACCUCCACAUACCUGCCCCUUCGGCUAACUUCCCACUACCACAAAUACUCCAGUACAUUCGCACUUCAGGCUACAGGCCGAACCAAUCUUCACCUAGUCUGAGAUUCAUGCCUGGUCCUGUUUCUUCCGCCAGCAUCAGCAUUUUCUCAGUAUUACCGACAGCGAGGACCUCAGUGCAUAGUCUGGCCCAAUGGCCCCAAAGAGACAAUCCUAUGAGAGUCUAACAUCAGCACGUUGCUGAAAGACAUGGAAAAUAAUGUCAGAGCUGGUGGUGAUGGAACUCUCCCUUUCCUCUGCCUUCAUGCUUCCAUGUGGAGGGAGCUCCAUUAGAGUAUCACUCCUACUCUCUCACCCCAUUCCCUCUCCAAGAAUGGAGCAGUGACUUAUCUGAUUGGUGUGCUUGGGGAAGGAGCUCAGUCUGCUUCUCUCUGUCUUUGUAUGUUACUGCAUACUUGCAGAAAUGAAUAUUCAGGAACAAGUCUUCAUGGGAGAACCCUGAAGUUGGUCAGUCCAGCCACGGUCUGUGAGGUGAUGUUUGUCUAACUCAAGGGUACUAACAAUAAAAAUAAUGUUUUAGUUUCUACUUAUUUGAUUGCUAGGAUUUUCUAACAGUUGGUUUGUGAACUCAAAAGGGGAAACAGGUGUGGUACUUUUAGUUUCCUAACCGAAGCCUACAUGUUGGAGAACCACCAGUAGCCCAAGGUUGGUGGAUUCCACGUUGGUGGAAUUGUAUCCAUUGUGUCAGUCAUUCCUCACAGGUGUGGAGGAGAGCUAAGUAGAUUCCUGUGCUAAGAAAAUAGAGUACCUUAACUUAGAAGGCCUUCAAUGAUGCUUCUGUAGCAUUUAAGCAAAAUAAAUUGUCUCCAUUCCACAGCAUGGACCAAAGCUAUGUCGGGGUGACAUAUAGCUUUCCUAUUACACACAAUGAGUCAUCUCUACCCUCUACCUAGAGCCCCUUAAUGGAUCAUCAUCUCUUACAUUGGGGGUCAUGAAGGCCUGAGUUGUGUGGUCCCUGUAGCAACUAUUCAAAUUUGCUAUUCUUGUGCAAGAGCAGCCAUAGACAAUAUAUAAACGAGUGGAUGUGGUUGUGUUCCAAUAAAACUUUAUUUACAAAAUAAGCAGAAAGUCAGAUUUGGCUCCCAGCUAUAGUAUGUCAACGCCUGUUGUACAUAACUAGAUUGGAACAUCUCAGUUUAACAUUCAAAGCCCAACGUAACCCUUUAGCUUCAUAUACUGCCACUGCUAAUGUUUUGCCUUCCCUAAUCCCCCAUUUAGAAUCUAGAGAUACCCUCAAUUGAUUGUAAAACCCUAUCGGCCAUCCCCAGCCUUCUGUCUCUCUCACACACACACGUGCAUGCACAUGCACACUCAUAUACACACUCUGCUGUCUCAUGAUUUUGUGAUUUGACUCACCAUUUCCUCUGCCUGAAAGGACUUUCUACCCUCUUCACCUGGCCACAUUCUAGUUAUUCUUCAGGACUCAAUUCUAAGAUGACUCCUUCCUCUGGAAGCCUUCUCUGAAUCACCCGUGGCUGGGUUGGGUAACUGUCUUCUUUACUUCCAUAUAUUUAAUGAAUGGAGACAUUUUCCAUCUCUGAGUCUGUCUUCCCUAGCCAUCCACAGAGCUCCUGGGGCUGAGGACUCAGUCUCAUGAUCUCAGCAGGCCUGGGGCAUCUCAUAGUAUCCAGCAUGGAUCAGCUGCUGAAUUUGUGCAGAACUGAAGCAGUGAAGCCAGAGCGAUCCAGAGAAAAAGGGACAGGGUAUUAUGCACAUGUUAUAAAUGGGAAGUUCAGGGGUAGGCUGAACUGACAAGGUUAUAAACACUUGA